GUCGUAACAAGGUAGCCGUAGGGGAACCUGCGGCUGGAUCACCUCCUUAACGAAAGUGACUGGGUGAGAAUUCACAGCAAGUUGGUCUUGUGUUUUAAAAGCGGGUCUAUAGCUCAGUUGGUUAGAGCACCGUGUUGAUAACGCGGGGGUCAUAAGUUCAAGUCUUAUUAGACCCACCAUUAAUCGAGGGGCCAUAGCUCAGUUGGUAGAGCGCCUGCCUUGCACGCAGGAGGUCAGGAGUUCGACUCUCCUUGGCUCCACCAAGCUGUUACAGCAAACAGGAUACUGAUGACAGUAAAUUGUUUAGUGUAACAACACGAAUUUACCUGACGAAGGUAAAUUAACUCAAUAACAACAUAGAGAAAUGAGUCUGGGUUAAUGAUAUCCAACGAAUCAUUAACCACAAAGGCUACAGAUAGAACUGGACAUAGCGAUAUAGAAAGUUAGCACUGUAGCCAAGUAAAGAGAACUGAAUCAAGCGUAAACAAAGGUGGACGUUACUAACAGACAUACGACCGAUUAGGGUUGUAUAGUCAAGUGAAUAAGUGCACACGGUGGAUGCCUUGGCAGUCAGAGGCGAAGAAAGACGUGACAGCCUGCGAAAAGCGUCGGGGAGGCGGCAAUAUCCUGUGAUCCGGCGAUAUCUGAAUGGGGCAACCCACUUGCCAGAAGGCAAGUAUCGUAACUAAUACGAAGCGAACCGGGAGAAGUGAAACAUCUCAGUACCCCGAGGAAAAGACAUCAAACGAGAUUCCCCCAGUAGCGGCGAGCGAACGGGGAGGAGCCGACGAAUUUAGACGUAGAGGAAUCACUUGGAAAGGUGAAUCAUAGAGGGUGACAAUCCCGUACUCGAAACGUUUAGAUAAG
rnacentral:misc_RNA from 1 species